rnacentral:tRNA from 1 species
UGCGGGAUGGAGCAGUCUGGUAGCUCGUCGGGCUCAUAACCCGAAGGUCGUUGGUUCAAAUCCUCACUUUCAG